rnacentral:rRNA from 1 species
GACGAACGCUGGCGGCGUGCCUAAUACAUGCAAGUAGAACGCACAGUUUAUACCGUAGCUUGCUACACCAUAGACUGUGAGUUGCGAACGGGUGAGUAACGCGUAGGUAACCUGCCUGGUAGCGGGGGAUAACUAUUGGAAACGAUAGCUAAUACCGCAUAAUAUUGAUUAUUGCAUGAUAAUUGAUUGAAAGAUGCUAUUGCAUCACUACCAGAUGGACCUGCGUUGUAUUAGCUAGUAGGUGAGGUAACGGCUCACCUAGGCGACGAUACAUAGCCGACCUGAGAGGGUGAUCGGCCACACUGGGACUGAGACACGGCCCAGACUCCUACGGGAGGCAGCAGUAGGGAAUCUUCGGCAAUGGACGAAAGUCUGACCGAGCAACGCCGCGUGAGUGAAGAAGGUUUUCGGAUCGUAAAGCUCGGUUGUAAGAGAAGAACGGGUGUGAGAGUGGAAAGUUCACACUGUGACGGUAGCUUACCAGAAAGGGACGGCUAACUACGUG